UGUCUCUCUCAUCUCUCUAUCCCGACAACACACGCGCACACACAGAAUCCAAAAUACAUAGCUUUCAAAACUCUCUCUCUCUCUUUCUCUCAAAUCUCUUCGUUGCUAUUUAUGUUACUCUCUCGGAGACCUUCUUCGUUCUUCUUCAAUCGAUUUGCGUUUCUCUGAUCUCGAAUAUGGAAGCAGUUUAUACCGAUUCCCUUCUCAAAUUCGUGUGAUCUGUGACAGCUUUUGGUAAUUUCAAGCAUUUUUUUUCUAGUUGCAGCUGUUGUAAGGAGUACAAGUGGUGGAAGAAUCUGGUUUUGUGUUAGUGGAACUGUUGUUUUAAGUGGAUUGAAAGUGUGUUUGAUAAAUUAUGGAACAAGGUUUGGGUUCAGAGUCUAUUCCUGCAUCUGUGUCUUCUGACAAGUCUAGGGUUUUGAAUGUAAGGCCUUUGCGAUGUCUUGUUCCGAUAUUCCCAUCGCCGCCAGGCAUGUCCUCGGUUUCAACCCCCCAAGCUUCCCCCUUUGUGUGUGUCCCUCCUACUGGUCCUUUCCCACCUGGGGUUGCUCCAUUUUACCCUUUUCUCAUCCCAACCGAGUCUCAGCCCAAUCAAGCUGGGCCAUUUAGCAAUGCGAUUCCAUCGCCUGUCCCCAUAACUUCAUUUAGAACACCAGUCUCACAUGCUGCGGGAGCGAACUCGACCCAGUAUUCUGGGGCUGCAAAUGGAGACACAGGGCCAUCUAGAAGGAGUUCUAGAAAUCGCACAACUGGUGUUCCGACACAAUCAGAUGGUGCUGAUGAAGAUGGUUAUAGUGACCAAUAUCUGAGUGGCUUCAGUAUGCAUGUUACUGAUGCAGAAGAGACCAGCAAGAGGGGCAGGAAGAAGGGGAGUUCCCAAAAAAGAACAAAGAGCAGCGUAGGGGUCAACAUGGCCACUCUUGAUGCUGACAUUGAUGCAGUAGUCAGCAAUUUCCUUAUGGGAUUCGAUUCGUUUAGACGAGAUGACGGUGAUACUGAGAUGGUUAGAUAUGUUCUCAUGAUAUUUAAUUUGCUCCGGAGAAGGAUUACUCAAAUUGAAGAUGCAAAGGAUGCAACUCCGGGGAUUACAAGACGCCCAGACUUAAGGGCUGGUACAAUUUUGAUGAAUAAAGGGGUUCGAGCAAACCUCAAGAAGAGGGUUGGAGCUGUACCGGGGGUUGAAGUUGGGGAUAUUUUCUUUUUCAGGAUGGAAAUGUGUGUGGUGGGUUUGCAUGCACCAUCCAUGGCUGGGAUUGAUUACAUGAGUCUGAAGAUUACUCAAGACGAAGAGCCUGUGGCAGUUAGCAUCGUUUCCUCUGGCGGAUAUGAGGAUAAUGUUGAGGAUGGGGAUGUCUUAGUUUACAGUGGCCAAGGUGGGGUUCAAAGGAAAGAUAAACACACAAUGGACCAGAAACUUGUAAGGGGUAAUCUUGCUUUGGAGAAGAGCUUGCAUCGGGGAAAUGAGGUAAGAGUUAUUCGGGGUAUGAAGGAUGAUGCAAAUCCAACUGGGAAGGUAUAUCUCUAUGACGGCCUUUAUAAAAUCCAGGAGUCAUGGGUGGAGAAAGGGAAGGCAGGUUGCAAUGUUUUCAAGUAUAAAUUGGUUAGAGUUCCUGGCCAGCCUCCAGCUUUUACGAUGUGGAAAUCAAUUCAGCUAUGGAAAGAUGGUAUUACUUCAAGGGUUGGGGUUAUCCUGCCAGACCUCACUUCAGGGGCUGAAAAUUUACCAGUUUCUCUUGUAAAUGAUAUAGAUGAUGAAAAGGGGCCUGCUUAUUUCACAUAUAUUCCCAGUCUCAAGUAUCCAAAACCAAUUAUUUCACCACAACCUUCUUUGAAUUGCAGUUGCCGGGGUGGAUGUCAACCCGGUGACCUCAACUGCCUGUGCAUUCAGAAAAAUGGAGGGGCUCUCCCAUAUACUGCAUUGGGGGUGCUUCUAAGUUAUAAAUCCUUGAUAUACGAGUGUGGUUCUUCCUGCUUAUGCCCUCCCAACUGCCGCAACAGAAUAUCCCAGGCAGGUUUGAAAGUCCGUCUUGAGGUGUUCAGAACAAAGGAUAAAGGUUGGGGUCUAAGGUCUUGGGAUCCUAUCCGUGCUGGAGGCUUUAUCUGUGAGUAUGCAGGAGAAGUCAUUGAUAAAUCCACAGAAGGGGGGUUUGGGAGUGAAACUGAUGAUAACUAUAUUUUUGAUGCAACUCGCACCUAUGAACCACUAGAGGUUAUGCCUGGCAAUUCUGAUGAGCCUCUAAAAAUGCCAUUUCCUCUUGUUAUAAGUGCAAAAAAUGGUGGGAAUGUGGCUCGAUUUAUGAACCACAGUUGUACUCCAAAUGUCUAUUGGCAGCCUGUUUUGCGAGAAGAAUCUUAUCUCCAUAUUGCAUUUUUUGCAAUCAAUCACAUUCCUCCUAUGAAAGAGUUGACAUAUGAUUAUGGGAUCGUUCAGUCUGGCAAAGCAGAGCCGAGGAGGAAAAAAUGCCUGUGUGGAUCUUCAAAAUGCAGAGGUCAUUUUUAUUAAUGGGUUUUUAUCGUGGAGUAAGGAAGUCAAGGUGGUACCUGCGUAUGGUCAUAAACAUAAUGCUGUGGGCAUCCUGGUGGUUAUUUACAAAAGUUUCAUGAUUGGCAGUUAGACUCAGUCAUUUCUAGAACAGCUAACCUUGGUACUUACCGAGUCAUUACUAAUUGCACCUGGUUGAUCUGUUGUUUAUGGUAAGAGCGAGCUUUGGGGUGAAAUGCAUGCUUUUGUACUUAAAUACAUUGCCUCAAGCCGGGUGGUGUCACAGGUAUGGUAGAAAACUAGAUCCCCAUUUUGACUGUAGUAUGUUAUCUUGGUGAACUUUUUCUUUUCUUUUCUUUUCUCGCUCUCGCUCUCGCUCUCACUUCGCUCUUGUUUUUUUUUUUUUUGGUUGGCUAGCUUGUACUCAUGCAAAUUGUAAGUUGGAACUUUAUGAGGUAGAACUCCUGUUAGUCCAUCUAGCUUUCUUCAUAUCUCUGCUGAUCUUUCUAAUA